rnacentral:rRNA from 1 species
GGGUGAGUAACACGUGGGCAAUCUGCCCUUCACUCUGGGACAAGCCCUGGAAACGGGGUCUAAUACCGGAUACCACUCCUGCCUGCAUGGGCGGGGGUUGAAAGCUCCGGCGGUGAAGGAUGAGCCCGCGGCCUAUCAGCUUGUUGGUGGGGUAAUGGCCCACCAAGGCGACGACGGGUAGCCGGCCUGAGAGGGCGACCGGCCACACUGGGACUGAGACACGGCCCAGACUCCUACGGGAGGCAGCAGUGGGGAAUAUUGCACAAUGGGCGAAAGCCUGAUGCAGCGACGCCGCGUGAGGGAUGACGGCCUUCGGGUUGUAAACCUCUUUCAGCAGGGAAGAAGCGAAAGUGACGGUACCUGCAGAAGAAGCGCCGGCUAACUACGUGCCAGCAGCCGCGGUAAUACGUAGGGCGCAAGCGUUGUCCGGAAUUAUUGGGCGUAAAGAGCUCGUAGGCGGCUUGUCACGUCGGAUGUGAAAGCCCGAGGCUUAACCUCGGGUCUGCAUUCGAUACGGGCUAGCUAGAGUGUGGUAGGGGAGAUCGGAAUUCCUGGUGUAGCGGUGAAAUGCGCAGAUAUCAGGAGGAACACCGGUGGCGAAGGCGGAUCUCUGGGCCAUUACUGACGCUGAGGAGCGAAAGCGUGGGGAGCGAACAGGAUUAGAUACCCUGGUAGUCCA